GGAGAUGAAAUAGUCACUAGGACCCAGCCAUGUUUUAAAAUGAUUAUAAAUUAUUUUAACAGUGCAUUUGCAAAGGGUUAUAAAAACAGCCAUAAUAUAUUUUUUUCCUUAGAUUCUAGAAUUACCAGUGUGACAGCUAAUGCAAUAAUGAUUUGUUUCAAAUGCCAGUGUUUAAGCUGUAUAAAGCUGAUUUUAUACAUUUUUCCAGUAGGCCGCAUUGUAGUUAAUGAAAUUAAACACACCAAUCGCAUUUGUCCCCAGGGGACGAGGAACUGAACACACCACUGGUUUAUUUUUUUAUUAAAAUAAAUUGCAGCCGGCAAGAUGGACUAAUUGCAUACAGAAUUGAAAAAGAAACAUUCCAUUGAUAUAAUUAAGCCAAUUUUCAUGGACAGAAAUAGUUAUAGUGGAUAUAAAAUAAGCAAAACCUUCACCAGAAUCUGACUUCCC
rnacentral:lncRNA from 1 species